UCCGUGAAGACGUACGCUGCCGCGCUCCAGUCGCCUUAGGCCUGGGGCUUCCUCGGGUGUUUCCGGGUGGCCGACCUCCAAGUUACCCUCGAUCCCCUCUCCCUCAUCUCCAGAUACACUAGGGUUUCAUAACACCACUGCUGUUACUCCCAAACGCUGAUAGAGCCGUUUGCCCCAAAUAAGAUUUAGAUCGUAAACUCAUUACUUAAUCCUCGAGAACGGUUAGACUGGAACUAAAGCAUCGUGUUUACAGACGAGCUUCAGAGUUGCUCCCAAGGUCACUGAGCUGUGGGUGACCAAACUGCCACCAGAUUGUACCCGCCCACGUCUCACACUACGGAAAAGCCCGAUCCUGGAAAGUCGGCCCAACUCUGGCUGGUUUCCCGCCUCUCACCCAAACUGCAGGAUUUGGCAGAGAAGGGUGGCGUCAUCAUCCCGGACCCUUGAAAGGUUUAUUAGAAACUCAAACGCAAAUGAGACCGGCCAGGCCAUCUGGACGCUGACCUUUACCAAAUAACAGUAAAAAGAAAUUUCUGAAAAGAAUUAGUUUAAAUUCUGGGCCCCCAAACAAAUGCCAGGAAGGGAAAACAGAGCCUCAAGAAUAAUUCACUACUGGGAGAGAAAUACCUCAAUCGUGCUCGAAAAACCCCUCCCUCUCUGGAACAAUUCUAGAACCACAUGAAGCUGUCAGAGGGACAUGUCAAUAUUUCUUGGUAGGGACAAGGAAUGGAGAUCAUACGUUGUGUCCCAUCUUACAGUGGUGCCUUCCGUUGCCCAAAGCCCCUGGGAAACCUGAGGACAAGAGAGCUGAGUGAUGCAAGCUUAGAAUCAGCCUCACAGCAACAGAACAGGGCAGAGAAGACCAGAAAACUGAUUCAGGGCUGUGUUAUCCAAUAAAGCAGCCACUGGACAAACACAACUAUUUGAGUCCAAAAAAAAAUUUUUUAAGCAGGAAGUCUAUGUUGUUGUUGUUUUUUUAAUGUUUAUUUAUUUUUGAGAGAGAGAGAGAGAGAGAGGGAGAGAGACACAGAAUCCAAAACAGGCUCCAGGCUCUGAACUGUCAGCACAGAGCCCCACGUAGGGCUCCAACUCAUGAGCCAUGAGCUCAUGACCUGAGCCGAAGCCCGAUGCUUAACUGACUGAGCUACCCAGGCGCCCCAUUUGAGUCCAAAUUAGC